rnacentral:rRNA from 1 species
AGUGAACGCUGGCGGUAGGCCUAACACAUGCAAGUCGAACGGCAGCACAGUAAGAGCUUGCUCUUACGGGUGGCGAGUGGCGGACGGGUGAGGAAUACAUCGGAAUCUACUUUUUCGUGGGGGAUAACGUAGGGAAACUUACGCUAAUACCGCAUGCGACCUACGGGUGAAAGCAGGGGAUCUUCGGACCUUGCGCGAUUGAAUGAGCCGAUGUCGGAUUAGCUAGUUGGCGGGGUAAAGGCCCACCAAGGCGACGAUCCGUAGCUGGUCUGAGGGGAUGAUCAGCCACACUGGAACUGAGACACGGUCCAGACUCCUACGGGAGGCAGCAGUGGGGAAUAUUGGACAAUGGGCGCAAGCCUGAUCCAGCCAUACCGCGUGGGUGAAGAAGGCCUUCGGGUUGUAAAGCCCUUUUGUUGGGAAAGAAAAGCAGCAGGUUAAUACCCCGCUGUUCUGACGGUACCCAAAGAAUAAGCACCGGCUAGCUUCGUG